GGGGAAGGCAACGAGUCGGGCCACCUUCCUGCAUUUGUCAUUUAAUCCCCAACUUUUUGAGGCGAUAACAUUCUUUCUGUGCUUCAAGAUGUCUUCCUGUUCCUGGGUACUGUUAAUAUGAAAGACCUUAGCAAUAGCACAAAAUCUAGUCGUCGCACAACUUCCUACCCCUGGCUCUGGCAGUCAGACCCGAGGUACGGCUAGUACCAGCUCUCGGGGGUCAUCGGGUCAACAAGGCAGCGGUCCAGUUGUAAGUGGUGGCCGGGCAUAGGCAGCACUCCACUUCUGGGUGCUGUAUUAGGCCUUGGCAGCGAUCAAGGAGUGGAUAGUAACCUCGGCCAAGGUAUCGGCGGCGGUCCAGCUGGUCCUUCUGGUCAAGGAGUAGGCAGCGGUGACAGGGCUGAACAGGUUAGCAGUGGACCUCGAGCUACCUCUGGCAGCAGCGGUCUGGCUCCUUAUGCUGGUGCAAGGUAUGGCAGUUCUCAAGUGAGCAGAGUGGAUGCACUGUUUAACCCCACUGUCACCCAGCUCUUCACCAUCGACAGCUUCGUCACCCACACUGAUCAGGCUUUCCAGAGUGUGGCUGUCACCCUCACUUCCCUCCCCGUCCAGACUGUCACCACUGGAACACGCGCGGUGAGUACUUGGUAUGAAUUGUGAUAAACUAUGGUCUGGACGCUGAGCUUAGACUAGUUAACCCCUCCGUGGUGCCUCCUUGCCAUGGUGAGGGGCUCCCAUACAACUCCCUGGGACCGGUGUGGGUUGCCUGUGCCCCCUCUCCUGCCACCUCUUUUGGUGGUGUACAUGCUGAAGGGCACCAUGUAGGGGCCUUGUGAGCCAUCGGACCACCCGCUGGAGAGGUCGCCUGUGAGAAGCUGCCUUUAGUGGAUGGUUGGGUGUCCAGGCUGGGGUGAUAGGGGGACUGGGGUCUUCGCACCAGUGUGGGAGAAUGGACGAAGUAGUAGGACUCCCCUGUUGAAAAGGGGGGAGCACCGCUGGGGACGACGCACCCUUCCUUCACUGGCCCGCGCUUGGCCUCCCUGGCUGCCCUGGUAGAUGGUAUCCCUUGUUUCCAGGUCCCAUUCUUUAGAUAUUGGUUUGCUGCAUGGAUGACGGCAUGACUUCUCUUACCCAGGCUCAUGGGGUGGGCGACCAGGCCCCUGAGUCCAACCGUCCUGGAAGACCGGGAUCUGUAGCCCCCACUACAGGACUCGUUAGUGUCCUGUAGUGGUAGAGAGGAAGACCGGACUCUUCCUCUCUGCUCGCCUCCCUCCUCUGUGGUUGGGUCGAGCCCCAAGCCUGCUGUGGUGACCGUCUUCUCCCCUUGCACGGCUCCAUCUCUUCUUGUGACUACUUCACCUUUUGACCCGUCUCUUUCUAAAGGUUCUCAUCUCCGUCCCCGCCACGGCUGCUCUCGUAUGCUCCCUUCCUAUACUAAUUCGUUCCAUGCUUGGUCCUGCUACGUGGACUAAGUG